GAUGAACGCUGGCGGCGUGCCUAAUACAUGCAAGUCGAGCGAACGGACGAGAAGCUUGCUUCUCUGAUGUUAGCGGCGGACGGGUGAGUAACACGUGGAUAACCUACCUAUAAGACUGGGAUAACUUCGGGAAACCGGAGCUAAUACCGGAUAAUAUUUUGAACCGCAUGGUUCAAAAGUGAAAGACGGUCUUGCUGUCACUUAUAGAUGGAUCCGCGCUGCAUUAGCUAGUUGGUAAGGUAACGGCUUACCAAGGCAACGAUGCAUAGCCGACCUGAGAGGGUGAUCGGCCACACUGGAACUGAGACACGGUCCAGACUCCUACGGGAGGCAGCAGUAGGGAAUCUUCCGCAAUGGGCGAAAGCCUGACGGAGCAACGCCGCGUGAGUGAUGAAGGUCUUCGGAUCGUAAAACUCUGUUAUUAGGGAAGAACAUAUGUGUAAGUAACUGUGCACAUCUUGACGGUACCUAAUCAGAAAGCCACGGCUAACUACGUGCCAGCAGCCGCGGUAAUACGUAGGUGGCAAGCGUUAUCCGGAAUUAUUGGGCGUAAAGCGCGCGUAGGCGGUUUUUUAAAUCUGAUGUGAAAGCCCACGGCUCAACCGUGGAGGGUCAUUGGAAACUGGAAAACUUGAGUGCAGAAGAGGAAAGUGGAAUUCCAUGUGUAGCGGUGAAAUGCGCAGAGAUAUGGAGGAACACCAGUGGCGAAGGCGACUUUCUGGUCUGUAACUGACGCUGAUGUGCGAAAGCGUGGGGAUCAAACAGGAUUAGAUACCCUGGUAGUCCACGCCGUAAACGAUGAGUGCUAAGUGUUAGGGGGUUUCCGCCCCUUAGUGCUGCAGCUAACGCAUUAAGCACUCCGCCUGGGGAGUACGACCGCAAGGUUGAAACUCAAAGGAAUUGACGGGGACCCGCACAAGCGGUGGAGCAUGUGGUUUAAUUCGAAGCAACGCGAAGAACCUUACCAAAUCUUGACAUCCUUUGACAACUCUAGAGAUAGAGCCUUCCCCUUCGGGGGACAAAGUGACAGGUGGUGCAUGGUUGUCGUCAGCUCGUGUCGUGAGAUGUUGGGUUAAGUCCCGCAACGAGCGCAACCCUUAAGCUUAGUUGCCAUCAUUAAGUUGGGCACUCUAAGUUGACUGCCGGUGACAAACCGGAGGAAGGUGGGGAUGACGUCAAAUCAUCCUGCCCCUUAUGAUUUGGGCUACACACGUGCUACAAUGGACAAUACAAAGGGCAGCGAAACCGCGAGGUCAAGCAAAUCCCAUAAAGUUGUUCUCAGUUCGGAUUGUAGUCUGCAACUCGACUACAUGAAGCUGGAAUCGCUAGUAAUCGUAGAUCAGCAUGCUACGGUGAAUACGUUCCCGGGUCU
rnacentral:rRNA from 1 species